UUGAAAAAUUAGCGGAUGACCUGUGGCUGGGGGUGAAAGGCCAAUCAAACCGGGAGAUAGCUGGUUCUCCCCGAAAGCUAUUUAGGUAGCGCCUCGUGAACUCAUCUCCGGGGGUAGAGCACUGUUUCGGCUAGGGGGCCAUCCCGGCUUACCAACCCGAUGCAAACUGCGAAUACCGGAGAAUGUUAUCACGGGAGACACACGGCGGGUGCUAACGUCCGUCGUGAAGAGGGAAACAACCCAGACCGCCAGCUAAGGUCCCAAAGUCAUGGUUAAGUGGGAAACGAUGUGGGAAGGCCCAGACAGCCAGGAUGUUGGCUUAGAAGCAGCCAUCAUUUAAAGAAAGCGUAAUAGCUCACUGGUCGAGUCGGCCUGCGCGGAAGAUGUAACGGGGCUAAACCAUGCACCGAAGCUGCGGCAGCGACGCUUAUGCGUUGUUGGGUAGGGGAGCGUUCUGUAAGCCGUUGAAGGUGUGCUGUGAGGCAUGCUGGAGGUAUCAGAAGUGCGAAUGCUGACAUAAGUAACGAUAAAGCGGGUGAAAAGCCCGCUCGCCGGAAGACCAAGGGUUCCUGUCCAACGUUAAUCGGGGCAGGGUGAGUCGACCCCUAAGGCGAGGCCGAAAGGCGUAGUCGAUGGGAAACAGGUUAAUAUUCCUGUACUUGGUGUUACUGCGAAGGGGGGACGGAGAAGGCUAUGUCGGCCGGGCGACGGUUGUCCCGGUUUAAGCGUGUAGGUGUGUGCUCCAGGCAAAUCCGGUGCACUUUAACACUGAGGCGUGAUGACGAGGCACUACGGUGCUGAAGUGACAAAUGCCCUGCUUCCAGGAAAAGCCUCUAAGCAUCAGGUAACAUCAAAUCGUACCCCAAACCGACACAGGUGGUCAGGUAGAGAAUACCAAGGCGCUUGAGAGAACUCGGGUGAAGGAACUAGGCAAAAUGGUGCCGUAACUUCGGGAGAAGGCACGCUGAUAUGUAGGUGAAGUGGUUUACCCAUGGAGCUGAAAUCAGUCGAAGAUACCAGCUGGCUGCAACUGUUUAUUAAAAACACAGCACUGUGCAAACACGAAAGUGGACGUAUACGGUGUGACGCCUGCCCGGUGCCGGAAGGUUAAUUGAUGGGGUUAUCCCUCGGGAGAAGCUCUUGAUCGAAGCCCCGGUAAACGGCGGCCGUAACUAUAACGGUCCUAAGGUAGCGAAAUUCCUUGUCGGGUAAGUUCCGACCUGCACGAAUGGCGUAAUGAUGGCCAGGCUGUCUCCACCCGAGACUCAGUGAAAUUGAACUCGCUGUGAAGAUGCAGUGUACCCGCGGCAAGACGGAAAGACCCCGUGAACCUUUACUAUAGCUUGACACUGAACACUGGUCCUUGAUGUGUAGGAUAGGUGGGAGGCUUUGAAGUGUGGACGCCAGUCUGCAUGGAGCCGCCCUUGAAAUACCACCCUUUAAUGGCUGGUGUUCUAACGUGGGCCCGUAAUCCGGGUUGCGGACAGUGUCUGGUGGGUAGUUUGACUGGGGCGGUCUCCUCCUAAAGAGUAACGGAGGAGCACGAAGGUCAGCUAAUCCUGGUCGGACAUCAGGAGGUUAGUGCAAUGGCAUAAGCUGGCUUGACUGCGAGCGUGACGGCGCGAGCAGGUGCGAAAGCAGGUCAUAGUGAUCCGGUGGUUCUGAAUGGAAGGGCCAUCGCUCAACGGAUAAAAGGUACUCCGGGGAUAACAGGCUGAUACCGCCCAAGAGUUCAUAUCGACGGCGGUGUUUGGCACCUCGAUGUCGGCUCAUCACAUCCUGGGGCUGAAGUAGGUCCCAAGGGUAUGGCUGUUCGCCAUUUAAAGUGGUACGCGAGCUGGGUUUAGAACGUCGUGAGACAGUUCGGUCCCUAUCUGCCGUGGGCGCUGGAGAACUGAGGGGGGCUGCUCCUAGUACGAGAGGACCGGAGUGGACGCAUCACUGGUGUUCGGGUUGUCAUGCCAAUGGCACUGCCCGGUAGCUAAAUGCGGAAGAGAUAAGUGCUGAAAGCAUCUAAGCACGAAACUUGCCCCGAGAUGAGUUCUCCCUGACUCCUUGAGAGUCCUGAAGGAACGUUGAAGACGACGACGUUGAUAGGCCGGGUGUGUAAGCGCAGCGAUGCGUUGAGCUAACCGGUACUAAUGAACCGUGAGGCUUAACCUU
rnacentral:rRNA from 1 species